GCGAACGCUGGCGGCAGGCCUAACACAUGCAAGUCGAGCGCCCCGCAAGGGGAGCGGCAGACGGGAUAGUAACACGUGGGAACAUGCCCUUCAGUACGGAACAACCAAGGGAAACUUUGGCUAAUACCGUAUACGCCCGUAAGGGGAAAGAUUUAUCGCUGAAGGAUUGGCCCGCGUCUGAUUAGCUAGUUGGUGGGGUAAUGGCUCACCAAGGCGACGAUCAGUAGCUGGUCUGAGAGGAUGAUCAGCAUCACUGGGACUGAGACACGGCCCAGACUCCUACGGGAGGCAGCAGUGGGGAAUAUUGGACAAUGGGCGCAAGCCUGAUCCAGCCAUGCCGCGUGAGUGAUGAAGGCCUUAGGGUUGUAAAGCUCUUUCGUCAGGGAAGAUAAUGACGGUACCUGAAGAAGAAGCCCCGGCUAACUUCGU
rnacentral:rRNA from 1 species